AUUUUAAUAUUUUUGGUUUAUGCGAGCAUUUGUUACGCCAUUGGUGCAAAGUAUAUUGAAUCCAAGGUUUUGUUUCAUUGCAUAAGUUACACGGACCCUGUAAGUGGUCCAAAAAUGAUCAAUCUUCGUCAUAACCUUGUAAUAACAUAAAUGUAGCCCAGUCGUUCCUUAUUCUGUGAGACUGCCACUGCCUGGUGCAACGUAAGAUAUUUCUGUGCUCAACCAACGCUUGGGUGGGUGCAAGAAAAAGAGUCCGAAGUUCUCGGCAUUUUAUUUGCUGUCAUCAGUGUUGAACUUUACUACUGUUCUUUCAUUUAAUUGCUUGUGACACUCACUUUUAAAAUCACAGGCGUUAAUUUUUUCAUGCCACAGAACAAAUAAUCUUGGUAAUAGUGCGCGGAUGUUUACAGUGUUCUGGGUCAGUUCCAGCGAUUGUACUAGUUUCGCUUUCGCGGAAUGUGUUAACUUCAUUUUAUUUUGGCGAUUGGGCUCAGGGUGGACUGUGACAAGUAUGGCCUCUUGAGUAAACCAGCAGCAGCGACGCGGCGAGAAUCGUCGCUGACGGUCGUUUUUGUUGUUUCGGAGAAGACGCAUGCCGCCUUGCGUUGUAUCAAAAUGAGGACGGCUACAUUUCAGCAAGAUCAAGAACUGAGGUCAAGACGUUUGAAAAACGACUCGCAACGUUCCAAGUUUUCGAGUGAUGGCACCGUCGUUGAUCGGAGCCUCAACCUUCAAGGAAUUGUGACAAUGCUGAAAGAAGAUACGUGUAACAAGUCUGUAGGAGGCAUAAACUGUAGCAUCUGUGGGAAGCUGUACAAGAGCAAAGUGUGCUUUACCAAGCACAUAUGGGAACACUCUAUGUACUGGGACCUGUUUGAUGACAUGAAGCACCAGGACCGUGUGUUAUCCAUCCAGGGAGCCCUCAUCCUCUAUAGCUUGCUGCAUCCUGGUGACCUAGCUGGCCUUUUGGUCACUGACCCACCACGACUGAGGCGGCGAGAACGACUUGAGAAAGCUGGCAUUCGCACACAACCUUAGUUAGACGACUCCUUGUGUCCUUUUCUGUUGUGCUGCGUUAAUCUUGCAGCUGGUCUGUGAGAGCUGAUGUUUGUUUGUUUCUGGUGAACUGCUUGGUUCGGGCUUGCAUAUUUGUGAAUUCCUAUGUGAAAGGCACUUUGGUUUCACUCAUAAAUGUCUUCUAGGCAUAGUUGCGGCUCAUGUGCAGAAGCUUCUUUUGAUCUGGCUAAUGCAUUGGUUUGCUGUUAAGGAAUGAGCCCUGGGGUCUUUCAGGGAGUUACAUAUGAGCUGCUGAGGCAUAUAAGUUUCUUAUUUUAGCUUUUCUUCCUGCUGUUAAUUGCUGUGGAUGAAAAAGAGGCGACAGUUUUUGCUACUUUAGCUAUACAAUUUGUGUGGUGUUGUGGCAGUGUAAUCUGCCUGACAGAACUUUUUUUUUUUUUUUGCGCCUAGACGAAACUUGGGUGAGUCACUAGGCAUCUCCAUUUGGCCUUUUUUGUUGUGGUGGCAGCAGCAGGAGCAAGUUUUACUAUGUAACUGUCCACUUGCACAUAUUUUUUGUGCUGCCAGCCAUGCACUCAUUGUUUCAUCACUCUGUGCAAUACUUGUGCAAUCUGCAAGAGCAUCACCUGUGUGAUAGGCAGCUAGCUACUUUGGCUAACAUUUCACGGUGCUGAAUAGUGAAGAAUGCGGAUAUCUUUUACUUACAUUUGAACUUGUUCCUAGCUUGCUAUGAAGAUAAGCAAAUGUAGCGGUUAAAGAUGGUGUCAUAAAGUGCAGCUAAGCAUAACUUAAUUUGCACAUGAUGAACACCUUUAGUCUUGUUACUCAGUUUAUGUAAGGUGUGCCUGUUGCAAGUUGACUAGGGAAAUACAUUAUUUUGUGCACUUGCACAGACUGCACCUAUGUGUUUAUGAUUGUUGAGCUAAUCAGUGUUUCAUGAUUAAAAAAGUAAUACUAAUGAUGUUAGAGCUAAAGAAAAUGCAAAAUAGAGAGAACAAGUAAUUCAAUGGCCUUCAGUUUCAAUCCUGCAUCUCUCUCUCUUUCUUUUUUGCUCACAUUAUGAACCACGCAAAGCUAAGCUACCUGUGUGCUGAGCUGGUUGUGGAAGGCCUGCAACUCUAGAACGUUACCAAACGGCAUUGCUGCAUGUGUUUGCGAGAUGCCAAAUAGCAGUAUAACUUUUGUUAAAAAACAGAUUAUUCAUGUUAUAUAGCUGCCAUGGCUUAGUUGAAUGUUGAACUGUAGCAGUUGACUGGCCUGUUUAAAAUCACCAGUGCCGCUGUCAUUCUGGCUCUUUAUUUUGAGAUCACAAAAACCACAGAAAGCUUAUUGUGCUGUGCAGCAGUUUACAUGUUUCAUACUAAGGCCAUAAUUGUAUCAAUGAUGUGGGAGAGAGCAGCAGUAAGAAAGCAGCUUGCAAGUAUUGAGCCCCUGAGCACUCAUGCAUUAUCAUAAAGUAUUAGCAUGAUGCCAGUAAAGUAUUGAAAUUUGCCUCGCAGGCAAUUUUUUUUUUAAUUCUAUAAUGACCACAAAAUUACAGUGUUGUUUUGGUCUCAGUAUUAUGUUUGGGAAUGUUUAUAACGAAUUACUUUCAUAGCCUUUUGGUAUGUAGAGGAUGUUCUGUGUAAGUAAAACCAAGCUUGAAAAGAAAAAAAAGAAAAAGGAAACUGGUGCACCUUAGAACGAUGAAAUUGAGACAGUUUUGUUGGUAGCCAUUUUUACAUGUUGUAGUACCUUUAAUACAUUGGUUUUGCCUUAAGUUUCACCUAACUACUGUUUCAACGAAGGCUGUCAAUAGUGGUAGUACUCAUUUGUAAGCUGAAUGGCAACUAUGGCUCAAAGUGCAUGGUCUUUUGAGUGACAUAUGUAACGGUUUUGUCCUCUAUCUUUCUUUUUUGUGGUGUUCUAUCACUACAGCACAAAGAAAAAGCCUUGAUAUUCAACUAGCCUAGUGAACCAGAUCACUAUGCUUUUUUUUCUUGUAAUUUCUUAAUCUCAGUGCUUCCCUAUUGUUGAUUCUGCUGCUUUUUAUCCAUAAGUAAAUAGCUUUAUAUUAACCCUGUGGGUGUACGCAAUGCUCACAUUGUUGUGGCAGGCACUUAGUGAUGCCUUGAGACAUUCAGAUCCAGAUUCCUAAUCAUGUAUUGGAAGGCAUUAACAGAGACAUGCUAAUCUAAGAGAAUGCCUUGCACUGCAUUGAUGUAGUCCAUCAGCUAUGUUGUGCUGAAUUUUAAGCACUGGUAAGACUGGUCACCUCAAAAAGGUGACCUGAAAUCUUUUAUCUGUAAACACCUGUACUUUGUGUCAUGGAAACCAGGUCAGGGUAAUGUAACGAUACUAUUUCACUUCUUUUCCUUUUCGCGUUUCGUAAGUGGUCCGAGUGGUGCUCCGCAUACAUUAUCACCAGGACCGAUCAUGAACGGUGGAUGAAAAGAAUGGAAUAGAAUCAAGGGAAUCAAGGCCCUUUAUAUGCAAUGCUUCACGACUUCAAGUCUACCAGAAACCUGGAAUAAUGCUAACAUUAUACUAAUCUAUACGAAGGAAGGCAUUACAGAAUUGAAGAAUUAUAUGCCUAUUACCUUGCUUUCAGUAUUGUAUAAAAUAUUCACCAAGAUAAUUUCCAAUAGAAUCAGGGCAACACUUGACUUCAAUCAACCAAGAGAACAGGCUGGCUUCAGGAAGGGAUAUUCUACAAUCGAUCACAUCCAUGUCAUCAGUCAGGUAAUCAAGAAAUCUGUGAAGUACAAUAAACCUCUCUAUAUGGGCUUUCAUAGACUAUGAUAAGGCAUUUGAUUCAGUAGAGAUACCAGCAGUCAUAGAGGCUUUGAAUAAUGUACAGGAAGCAUACGUGAAAAUCUUAGGAAAUUUCUACAAAGAUUCCACAGCUACAUUGGUUCUCCACAAGAAAAGUAGAAAUUUACCUAUCAAGAAAGGGGUGAGGCAAGGAGGCACAAUCACUCCAAUGCUAUUCACUGCAUGCUUAGAAGUAUUCAAGCUCUUAGACUGGGAAGGCUUAGGAGUGAGGAUCAACGGCGAACAUCUCGUCAACCUUCGGUUUGCAGAUGACAUUGUCGUAUUCAGCAACAAUGGGCACGAAUUACAACAAAUGAUUGAGGACCUUAACCGAGAAAGUGUAAGAGUGGUGUUGAAGAUUAAUAUGUAGAAGACAAACAAUGUUCAAUAGCCUGGCAAGGCAACAAGAAUUCAGGGUCGCCAGUCAGCCUCUAGAGUCUGUAAAGGAGUAUGUUUAUCUAGGUCAAUUACUCGCAGGGGACCUUGAUCACGAGAAAGAAAUUUGCAGAAGAAUAAAAUUGGGUUGGGGUGCAUGCGGCAGGCAUUGCCAAAUCCUGACAAGGAGCUUACCACUGUCGUUGAAAAGUGUAUAAUCACUACAUUAUACCGCUGCUAACUAAUGGGGCAGAAACUUGGAGCUUAACAAAGAAGCUCGAGAACAAGUUAAGGACCGCACAAAGAGCAAUGGAACAAAAAAUGUUAGGGUGUGAAGAGAGUAGUGUGGAUCAGAGAGUAACGGGGAUAGCCGAUAUUCUAAUUGACAUUAAGAGAAAAAAAAUGGAGCUGGGCAGGCCAUGUAAUGUGUGGCCCAUUAGAGUUAACAGAAUCGGUACCAAAAGAAGGGGAGCAUAGUCGAGAACAGAAGAAAACUAGGUGGGGUGAUGAAGUUGGGAAAUUUGCAGGCGCAAGUUGGAAUCAGCUAGCGCAAGACAGGGGUAAUUGGAGAUCGCAGGGAGAGGCCUUCAUCCUGCAGUGGACAUAAAUAUAGGCAGAUGAUGAUGAUGAGAAUCAAGGGAAAGGAAUCGUUACAUUAUACCGACCCUGCUUCUUUCGUUCUUUUGUGUGUGGGGGGGAGGGGGGGCGCACAUGUUGCUGUUAUAGUAGUAUAUUGAGAAAUGUAGACCAUCAUCUUGGACAUGCAUAUUUUCAGGUAUUUCCUGGAGCUCAGAUUUUCAGUAAAUUAGGUGUAUUAAUCAGCAGGUAUGGUAUAAGCUGGCUUUUUCAACUUUGUGUUCUUUAUCAUGCCAUGAAGGCCCAGUUUUUUCUAAAGCAUGGUCCUACUUGCAUGAAGUUACUGGACAUGGAUGUUUUGGCACGUCUGUAUGUGUACAUGCAUGUUUGUUGUCUUGCAUGUCUGUGUAUGCAUGUACACCCUAGCGCAAAAGUAUAGGGGACCACGGAUGCUGCAAAAACAAAGUUAUUUAGCAGCCUUAGGCAUACAGCCUCAAAAUGAGCAUUGCUGCUAUGACUAUAGUUGCAUAGACAUUGCUGCACUCCUCCAUUUCAUGUUGCAGAUCUAGGCUGCACACUCAGUCUCAACUUGAUGCCCAUGGUCAGUACUCCUUUGCUGUUGGUGUGUAUAUGCUUUUUAUAGUAAUGUAUACAAGAAAAAUUAUUAGUGUUGUUUAGUAGUAUUGCCUUGACUGACCUAUUUCUAGUAAGCAAUGUACUGAACAUUCUGUACACUCUAGAUGUGCUUAUUAUUCCAAACACACCUGCACACUCUUGGUCAAAUGUUUCCAGGCUCUUUCUAUCAUUGGCAUCCAUUGGCUGUUUUCGAGCAUCAUUGCACUGCCAGUGCUGGCACUUUCUGGCUAAAGAUUAAAAAUGGUAAGGCCGAUCCUUACGCAAGUCUUGAGCCCCUAUGUGUUGAACAGUACUGAAAAAAAUUGUGACUUUAAAUUUGCCUGCCUUCAUUCCUUGUUGGUGAAGACAUUUGAUGCUGGGAAAAGUAGGAAGUGUGGGACUGCAGAUAGGCUGAGCAACAUAGAACCAUUAUGCCUUUCAAAGCACCCUCACGGUUUUUGCAAGGUGCUUUGUAGUUUUUCAGGUUCCUACUACUACAUUUCGCAUUAUCUGACGGCAAGAUAUUGUAUGUAGUGACGGAUUGUACAUUGCAUGCUAUCUGUUAAAGCUGGGCACAAUGAAAUGGAUCGAGGGCUGUGCCUUUUGCAUGUUAUUUCAUUGUUUCUCCGUUUUUGAUGCAUGUGCUAAAGCCCCACGUGUUCAUAGUGCAACCAUUGCUGUUCAGUUUUAAGUAUAAAGGAAUUAUAUGGAUACCUACUUGUUUACGUGCAGUGAAGGAAAAACUUAUAUCGACAUUUUUUUUUUUUUUUGAUCAAACAUAAUGAAAACCAAAUAAAUGACUGAAGGCACAGCCUGCAUACGGCAGUGACACGGUAACAGAAGUUAGUAUGUAAUUUUCUCACCCAAGCCAGAGCGAAAAAAAUGGUGAAAAAUAAAAAUAAACCAGGCAUAGAGCGUGCAAGGCUGCGCUGCCUGCUUGUAAAACUUGAGUUAGAUGGAGGCUGUUUACUGUUGCUGCAGCUUCCACAUUUCCCUGCUCCAAAUGCACCAAGUGACCUCACAAGCUAAUAUAAGAUAAACAAGCAGGCAAAUGUAAUGUUACAUAGUCUGCUUCUCAGCACUGCUAUCAAGAAUGCUUGAGAAAAAGGGCAAGAAUUCACUUGGCUCGCUCAUUCUUGCAGCCACCAUGCCUAUGACAGGGAACCUCGCAGUAGUAGAUGGAAACUUUCCAACUACAGUCACAGCGGCUGGGUAACUUUUGACGAGCAGUGUACAUAGGUUUAAAGCACCAGAGUUGUAUCUCUCAUCAUCAACAAUGUACUUGCUGCUUUAACUGGAAUUUUCCGUAUUUUCUUAUGACACAAAGUUAAUUGAAAUAGUAACCAUACCAUAUGUCAACAAUAACGUGCAGCAGAUAUAUUCAGUAAUCAGUUAUCUCCAAUGAUUAAUUUUAAUUUUUUGCCCAUUAUAGGAUAAGCGUACUAAGGUUGUGAGUGGACUGCCAUGGAAAUUGUCUUAUGAGAUGCAUGUGUGUUUAUUCUUUUAUAGGAACAUUACAACUAUUUAUUUUUCUAUUGCCUAGUGCUGUAUUUAUUAACUCAAGUCAGCCUAUCUCUCUUGUAAAUGUUGCACCUAGGGCUGGUUUUUGACUGGUUGGCAGUUAAUCUAUGAUGAGCUUUUUAUGAUAAUGUUAAUUAAAAAAUAUAGGUUGUUACGAUUUUAUGCAGCUAACCAGUUGUGAAUGGUUUUAAAGCUGUGUCUUGAAAUUUUCUGUCCUAAAAUAUUAUACAUCUGUUUAAAAUUGCUAAAAUUGCACUGUGCAUUUAAAUUUUUGACUUGACGUGUAAUUCGGUCUACUUUAUUUUUGGUUUUAUCUGGCAAGAAGGUCCCAAAAUCCCCCCCCCCCCCUUUUUUUUUCUUUUGAGGGGGGGGGAGGGGUGUUACACAUAAGCUUACCAGUCUUUUAGAGGCAACAUUCACGUGCAAAAUUUACCUUUUAUUAUUAUUUUUUUAUUAUUAUUAGUUUUUGCUUGUGCAGUAUCUCAAGUCAGCAUAAUGUUACUGUACUAGUAUCUAGCAGACUUACAGGUAGUGUUGAGGUGGUGGGCAUACAACUGUCAUAUACACUAACCUUGCAACUGAAUGUAUUCAAAAGCAUAGUAACACAAAUAGCAAUUAAAUGACUUGGAUGAAGCAGUGAGCACAUGUAAUUGUCAUAAUGAGUGUCUUAAAAUUGCGGAGGGAAAGCAGUUUAGCGAGAUAUUGACUAUGGUGCUUACAUCUUGCCACAUGAAACCUCUGGCUUUUAAAGCUAUGCUUUCUUUGCGAAGCUGGGUGCUGGUUUCCCAGCACAACAGCCGGAUCCUCUAACCAUUAGGCCACAAUCGCAUGUAUACUUCUAUCAUGCGAAUGCCAACUAGCGCUUGGAGAUGAUCGCUGCAUAUCAUGUGUCACAUUGCAUAGCAUGGGUGCACGAGAGCAUAUGCAUGCACACCAGUUUCCUGUACACCAGAGACGCAGGGAUGGAAUGGGCAAACUUAUAGCAUUUUAUUUAACCGCUUCACAUAAAUUCCAAGAUGUGUAUUGGAUCUGUAUAAUUUUUACUUUUGAUCCUGCUUACCACUAAUUCUUAAUGGCAGAAGCCUUAAAUUGCUUUUGUUUAACCUCAUUUAUUACUAAGUGAUGAUUCUGUCUGCAGUGCAUACAGCUUUUUUAUCUUGUAAUUUCAAUAUUGGAGCCUAUUAAUGUGUGUUCUCUUUUAUCUGUGUUUUACUGUUUGGUGACCGUGUUAGCUAAUGUUAGAUAUAUGAAGACGCAUUCAGUUCAUUCACUUCAUCAGUUCAGUUUUUAUCAUGCAUGCUGUCUGGUUUUGCCUCGGGUAUGUUCUUUUGUUGAUAUCUUUUCUGUAGACUGAAAAUAUUAUUGCUAUUCAAAACAGCACUAUACUGACAAGUGGAGCUUUCUCCUAAUUUAAAAUGUUUUGAGAGGGCUCUUGCCAUGUGCUGAAGUUUUACUGUGAGUAACUUUAUUGAAUAAAAUACUGUCUCUCAGAAUGAGUGGUGGAAAACGAGGAUUCAUUUAAUGCCACUGUACUCCACUCUUCAUCAAAAUGCCCCCAGUUACAGGUAGAAACAUAAAUACCUUAUCCUCAGUUUUGAUCAGCACUUUUCUAGUAGAGUACCGAUUAAUUAUUUAGAUUGUUUGGCAGCUGCUUGUACUGUAUGAUUUGCAGAUGAUGUCAAUCAUUUCAGUUUUAAUUAUUUUUAUUCUGUGCACAAGAUGCACUUGUACGAUGUCACGCCGAAAAAAAUGCAGAUCUGUAUUCUUAAGCUAUAAGUGUGACCAAUCUUUGCCACAGUACCCAUUGCCUCCGGGAGCUACUGAAAAGGAAGUGUUUUACUAGUGUUGGCAACGCUAUUCCUUAAGUCCCAUUAACUCUAAUUGGCCUGACAAGUGCACCAAAGAGCACAGAUGAAUCAAACUGCUUACUAGUUCUAGCUAGCCCCUCCCUUCUUUCUCAUUUGAGCAACCUCUCAAUAAAAGUAAAAUCUGAGUUUGUGAUCAGGCUGCUAUUAGAUUGAUGCAUAUGCUUUUGGGGGAAUUAGUGCCCAUGCCAUUUUUUUUUUUUUAACAAUGCUUGUAGUUGUUGAUUGGGUAUUGCUUUACAUGGCAUUUGUGGUGUAAAUUCAUGUGCUGCCAAUGCAUUGUGUAGGCUUUGAUAGAUCAUUUGCAGAAUUCAGCUUUCUUGGUUGAGUUUUUGUGUAGAAUUGUAUCAAGCUGGUCUAGAUUUGGCAAUCCACGUGUAGCAGCAGCAGUCCAUCAGAGGUAGCUGUGGUGCACCACAGAUCCGUCAAUAUCAUGUGAUAGCCAGGGCCAACAGUCCCAGUUGAAUUGCUUGUACUUCGAGUAAACAGCCUCUCUGCUGCCUUUUCGAGCUUUCUAAUCCUGCGUAUGCAAAGAUUUUAUGCUUAAUGAGAAUUCACAUAGUAUUUCAUUGUAUAAUUCUUAAUAUUCUAUGUACUAGACACUGGUUGUACACAUUAUUGAUUGUGUUGUAUUAUGUGCUGACAUGUUUCCCGAAGCAUAGUGUUUUAACAUUUCAGUGUGGCAAGACCUGUUUAAUUAUUGGAAGGGAGGCAUUGUAGCUCAGAUUACCUGGCCCCAAUGCAAGAAAAAUGCAGUUAUAUGGGUGUAAUUACAUACAUUCCUGAUUAUGUUACAUGAAAAUGCCCAUAAAACACCUGACAAAUUAGGCAUUGUCUUAGUGACAGUUACAUGCCAACUACAGUUAUUCUAGAUGCUGUUUUGCAGGUAGAAUGUAGACAAAUAGCAUCAGUGAUUUUGUAUAUAGAUAGGUGCAUGAUGACUCCAAAUGUAGUUCAACAUUGGCUUGACACUGCUAAUACUCUGGUGCCAAGUCUAAGAUAAUACCUAUGGAGUGUUUAGCAUACUGAAAGUCCAACACUAUUUUAUCUUUAUCACAAUAGUAAGUUUGUAGGUGUCUUUCUCCGGGGGUAUUCUAUCAUGCAUCUAAGUGUAGAAAAUUUUAGGUGCCUGUUUGACAUUCGUUUUUAAUGGGCACUUAGCUGUGAUCUUCACAUUGUAAGCAAGCGUAUUAGCUGCUGCACAGAAUGCUGCUAGGCCUUCUAUUAUUGCCCUUUGACUGCCAUGCCCAAGUGUACUAGUUUCCUGUCUUGCACUUGCUUGUCGCCAUUCUGGCUACACUAAGGCUGAAGGAAAUGUAUGUCAUACACUUGUCAUGUCAUCAAUACAGAAGCUACUUUUGCAUAUGUUACAUGGAAGUUUUGUGUGUGGCCAGGUAGCCACUGUUGAGUUCACUCUUGCCAUGAGAGUUGGUAGCUUCUCAUGUCCGUGUGCUGCAUCAUGCUCACUUGUACAUGCGGGAAGUAAUUUGUGUUGUGUGUGUUAAAAUAUUCAAAAUAUAUUGAUGUAACCUGGGAACCAUCACAACACAUUCACAGCCUAGGAAGUAUUGUUUAAACUACACAACGUAACUGCAUGUUGUGGAAGUUUUAAAAAAGGAAGUCAUGUGUUUAACCUGAAAAUAUAUGGAAAGGAAUAUCCUUUUAUUUUAAUAACAUUUACUUCUUUAAAAAUAUCUGCACCACACUCACAGUAAGUACUGAUACAAAAUAAUGGCAAAUCAUUUGAAUGUGGUUGUGCAUGUUAGAGAGAUGUUUUUUUGUUUUUUUUUCAUUCAUGGAAUCAAAUUUUGUGCACCAUUUAGCUAUAAUUUUGCAACAUUUUUUAUGGCAUUAUGUAAUUUAAGCUCUGAUGUGUUGUUUAUGAGUGCUCAACCAUGUCAAGAUUUUGUUGCAUUUUGCUAUUACUAUAGUUCUGCUGAUUGCAGCCAAAUUUUUUGUAUCUGUGUUUCAGCACAGAUAACCCUUUCAGUGUGUCGCUGAUGCAUAACCAGCACAUUGAACUAGUUUCCCUGUCGUUGUGAUGCUUCGAAUAAAUUUUCAUAAGCAGUCUUGUUAAAACAAAAUUGCAGCAUGAAUGAAAUUAGCUUGUAUGAAGUAACUUUGUGUGGGUGAGUUUCUGGCACUUGUAUUCUUGUGGUCUUUCUAGAGCUUUUCUCGUCUUUGCAAUACUCUGGUGGCACAGAGUUGCCAUUGUGUUCUAUAAACCUUGAGUAAUAGAAAGAUUAUUUUUAUCAUUAUGCUGCAGUUGAUGUUAGUGGUAGUGUACAUAUAAAUAUAUAUUUUCAACAUCUCAAUUCAUGCAAUAGUACAUAGGUAUUUAAUGUGGUGAUACAUGUUUUGCCAGUGAUGGCAUCUACAUGGCUGUCAAGUGCUUUUAAUGAUUGUUUUUGUCUUGCGCAAAAUAGUAGUAGAUCCCAAGGGUAAAAAUAUAUUGAUGUUGCACUUUUAUUUAAUGCGAUGUUAUAUGCUUCACUUGAGGUCCUGGAGCCACAUUUAGCAGACUGGUAUAAUGAGAAAAUCUAAGAACUAGUGUAUCAUGUUAUGUGCAUAUUUAAAUAGCCAUAUCUUUUGCUUUUGUGCAAUGCGUUGCGUGCUGUAUUUAUUCCUUUUGCGCAUACUGCGUAGCGCAUUUGAAUGUGACAAUACAAAUACACUUGUGAAUAUUGUUUGAGGAACAAUAAAUCAGUGUUAGUAAA